rnacentral:rRNA from 1 species
UCCUAGUACGAGAGGACCGGAGUGGACGCAUCACUGGUGUUCGGGUUGUCAUGCCAAUGGCACUGCCCGGUAGCUAAAUGCGGAAGAGAUAAGUGCUGAAAGCAUCUAAGCACGAAACUUGCCCCGAGAUGAGUUCUCCCUGACUCCUUGAGAGUCCUGAAGGAACGUUGAAGACGACGACGUUGAUAGGCCGGGUGUGUAAGCGCAGCGAUGCGUUGAGCUAACCGGUACUAAUGAACCGUGAGGCUUAACCUUACAACGCCGAAGGUGUUU